rnacentral:tRNA from 1 species
GGAGCUGUAGCUCAGUGGUAGAGCUCAUGCUUAGCAUGCAUGAUGCCCUGGGUUUGAUCCCCAGCACCUCCA